UGCCAGGGUGAUCAGGUGACUCCGAGCUCGCGGCGCUCCCCGCAGCGGUGACAUUAGGCGCACCGCGGCUCCUCACUUGCUCCGAGUUUGGUGCGGCGGCGUGUCUUGUGCGGUCUCGUCUGGUCCCGUCAGGUCCGACCGAAGCAGUGCCCGACCCGUUCGUGGAGAGGUGAGGCGCGGCGGACCCGACCCGGCCAAGCUGGCACCAGGGACGGGGUACACUCUGCAGGUCCCUGAUGAACCAAGGGAACCCUCCACCAUACCCGGGCCCCGGUCCGACGGCCCCAUACCCACCAUAUCCACAACAACCAAUGGGGCCUGAGGUCUACCCUCCAGGACCUCCUGGGGGACCUUACCCACCUCCUCACGGGUACCCCUACCAAGGAUACCCACAGUACGGCUGGCAGGGCGGACCUCAGGAGCCUCCUAAAACCACAGUGUACGUGUUGGAACGUGAAAGGAAGAUGGACAACACCGGGUGUCAGGCAGCCCUGGCCGCUUGCUGGGCUGCUCUCUGCUGCUGCUGCCUCCUGGACAACUUGGACUGAGCAGCCAAGACCCAAGUGCUCCCUCCAGGCCCGCUACCUCCUGUUACUGGAAUAAACGACCAGUGCUUCACAAUUUCCAUUUUUGCUUUCUUUGCAAAAUACCUGAUCUACAGACUUUUAAAUUUUAGCACCUAUGAUAGAUGUGAAAUGGUAUCUCACUAUUUUAAUUUACCUUCCCUGAUUACUAGUGACCUUGCACAUAAAACUAGAACUUUUUGGCAAUUUGCUUUUACAAAUCCUGUGAAUUGCUUGUACAUAUUCUUAGCCCAUUUUUUCUAUUGGUUUGUCUUUACUUAUUGAUUUGGAGGGAAUCUUUAAAUAUUCUGGACACUAAUAUUUAUCACUUUAUAGGCUUGCAAGUAUCUUCUGUCUCAACCUUUUUUAUAGUGUAUUUUCUAGUAUGAAAGUUCUUAAAUGUCAUAUUUAUCAAUCUUUCCCUUAUAUUUCGUCUUUUAGUCUUUGAAAUAUCAUUUUCUAUUCCAAGAUCAUAAACCUAUAGUUUCUUCUGAAAUUUUUUCAGGUAGUCUUUAGUCCACCUAAAUUUAUUUUUGGUCAUGGUAUAGGCUAGGGCUCUGGUUUUCUUCGUCCAUGUUGAGAGUUCCAACACCAUUUAUUGAUUAAGUCACCCUUUCCCCAUUGAUUUGAAAUGAGAUUUGUCAUAUACCAAGCUCCCACAUAUGAAUGAGCUAGAAUCCGGAGUCUGGUAUGGUAACCAUCUUCCCUGCCCCCAGCACAUGCAUUCACACAUACCCUUUGUCUUCAGGAUUAUUUUGGCUAUUAUUCGCCUCUUACUCAUUAAUCUGGAUUUUAGGAUGAGUCAGUUUCUGUGGCAAACCACCAUGUUUGGCUUUAAGUGAGAUGGCAUGUAAUUUAGAGAAUUGGGGGAAGAGUUGACAUAUUUACAGUAUUGUCUUCCUGUCAUGAAUAUGGUAUCUAUUUAUUUUUGUCUUCUUUUAUAUCCUUAGAUAAGUUGUAUAAUUUUCU